GAUGAACGCUGGCGGCGUGCCUAAUACAUGCAAGUCGAGUGAACAGAUGAGGAGCUUGCUCCUCUGACGUUAGCGGCGGACGGGUGAGUAACACGUGGAUAACCUACCUAUAAGACUGGGAUAACUACGGGAAACCGGAGCUAAUACCGGAUAAUAUAUUGAACCGCAUGGUUCAAUAGUGAAAGACGGUUUUGCUGUCACUUAUAGAUGGAUCCGCGCCGCAUUAGCUAGUUGGUAAGGUAACGGCUUACCAAGGCAACGAUGCGUAGCCGACCUGAGAGGGUGAUCGGCCACACUGGAACUGAGACACGGUCCAGACUCCUACGGGAGGCAGCAGUAGGGAAUCUUCCGCAAUGGGCGAAAGCCUGACGGAGCAACGCCGCGUGAGUGAUGAAGGUCUUCGGAUCGUAAAACUCUGUUAUUAGGGAAGAACAAAUGUGUAAGUAACUAUGCACGUCUUGACGGUACCUAAUCAGAAAGCCACGGCUAACUACGUG
rnacentral:rRNA from 1 species